CCUACGGGGGGCAGCAGUGAGGAAUAUUGGUCAAUGGACGAGAGUCUGAACCAGCCAAGUAGCGUGAAGGAUGACUGCCCUAUGGGUUGUAAACUUCUUUUAUAUGGGAGUAAAAUGUUCCACGUGUGGGAUUUUGUAUGUACCAUAUGAAUAAGGAUCGGCUAACUCCGUGCCAGCAGCCGCGGUAAUACGGAGGAUCCGAGCGUUAUCCGGAUUUAUUGGGUUUAAAGGGAGCGUAGGUGGAUUGUUAAGUCAGUUGUGAAAGUUUGCGGCUCAACCGUAGAAGUGCAGUUGAAACUGGCAGUCUUGAGUACAGUAGAGGUGGGCGGAAUGCGUGGUGUAGCGGUGAAAUGCUUAGAUAUCACGAAGAACUCCGAUUGCGAAGGCAGUUCACUGGACUGCAACUGACACUGAGGCUCGAAAGUGUGGGUAUCAAACAGGAUUAGAUACCCGAGUAGUC
rnacentral:rRNA from 1 species